rnacentral:rRNA from 1 species
CGCGAAUGGCUCAUUAUAACAGCUAUAAUUUACUUGAUCUUGACACAAUCCUACUUGGAUAACUGUGGUAAUUCUAGAGCUAAUACAUGCACUAAAGCUCUGACCUCACGGGAAGAGUGCACUUAUUAGAACAAAACCAAGCGGCUUCGGCUGUUUUCGGUUGACUCAUAGUAACUGAGCUGAUCGCACGGUCUUGCACCGGCGACGUGUCUUUCAAGUAUCUGCCGUAUCAACUUUCGAUGGUAGUGUAUCUGACUACCAUGGUGAUCACGCGUAACGGAGAAUAAGGGUUCGGCUCCGGAGAGUUCGCCUGAGAAAUCGCGAACACAUCUAAGGAAGGCAGCAGGCGCGAAAAUUACCCACUCUCAGCACGAGGAGGUAGUGACGAAAAAUAACGAGACCGUUCUCUUAUGAGGCCGGCCAUCGGAAUGGGUACAAUUUAAACCCUUUAAUGAGUAUCUAUGAGAGGGCAAGUCUGGUGCCAGCAGCCGCGGUAAUUCCAGCU